UUUUAGCCCUGAUAGCAGCGGAAAUCCUUUUUUGAGAAACCCUAUUUUUUCUGGUUUUUGCAGAGCGACCGGAGGAAGCUCCUGCAAAGACCAAGAAAAAAAGGGUUUAGAGAAAAAGAUUGAAGUGAAUAGCAGGAUUGGCU
rnacentral:sRNA from 1 species